rnacentral:rRNA from 1 species
CGCAAUGGGCGAAAGCCUGACGGAGCGACGCCGCGUGAAGGAUGAAGCGUUUCGGCGCGUAAACUUCUUUUAUAGGGGAGAAAGUUUAUUGAUAGUACCCUACGAAUAAGAGGCUCCAAACUCUGUGCCAGCAGGAGCGGUAAUACAGAGGCCUCAAGCGUUAUCCGGAAUUAUUGGGCGUAAAGGGUGUGUAGGUGGUCUAGUUAGUCUUCUGUUAAAUUCUUCGGCUUAACCGGGGGCAUGCAGGGGAAACGGCUAGACUUGAGGGUGCGAGAGGUGCAUGGAACUCAUGGAGUAGGGGUGAAAUCCGUUGAUAUCAUGGGGAACACCAAAAGCGAAGGCAGUGCACUGGCGUACUUCUGACACUCAAACACGAAAGCGU